GACGAACGCUGGCGGCGUGCUUAACACAUGCAAGUCGAACGAAGUGGCGAACGGGUGAGUAACGCGUAAUCAAUCUGUCUUUCAGAGGGGGACAACAGUUUGAAACGACUGCUAAUACCGCAUACUGAAGGAGGGGAUUGCGUCUGAUUAGCUAGUUGGAGGGGUAACGGCCCAAAAAGGCGAUGAUCGGUAUCCGGUAUGAGGGGGUAGACGGCCAAAUUGGGAAUGGAACACGGGCCAGAAUCCUACGGGGAGAAGGCAUGGGGAAUUAUCCGGAAUGGACGAAAGUCUGACGGGGCAACGGCGGGUGGGUGAUGAGAGCCUUCGGGUUGUAAAGCUCUGUUAAUCGGGACGCGGUACCGAAAUAGAAAGCCACGGCUAACUACGUGCCAGCAGACGCGGUAAUUC
rnacentral:rRNA from 1 species